rnacentral:lncRNA from 13 species
AUUCCAAAAUUGACUGUACUGUCGUCAGGGAAAGGAAAAGAGAAUUGCUCAUCUCUGCUCAUGGUUAACAGCAGUUUCCCAUUGAAUUGAGUCAUGGGAUGUAUAGAAGAUCACCCCAAGGCCAUGCAUGCCCUUCCUUAGCGAUUCUAUGCUGAUGUCUUGGCCCCACUGAACACAAGAGUCACAUGGAGAAAGCCGUCUGGAUGCUUUGCUGCACAAGUGAAAAUGUAGGAGUCGUAUUUACGCUGAGAUUCUCACAGCCAGGGUGGUAGAUGGGAUUGAGUUGGGUUUCUCAUGCUCUAUGAAAUCUGGAAUCAAGAUACGUCUAAAAAUCAGUGUCAGAAAUCUUUCAGAGACUGAGAACCAAAAUAUCCAAAAAACUGUUCAGUCUUGCAGUUUAAAAUGAAGUCUAAUAUAGAAGAAACCCAGUGGGCACACGAAAGUGAAAAAUCCAGCUUGUAGAAAUUUCCUGAGGCAGAUGUGGUUUCACCUGUGGGAAGCGAGGCGACACUUACGAUGACUGGGCUCCACAGGAGACUAGGAGAGCCACUGCUAUAAAAUAGCCUUUUAUUACUGUUGAAUGAAGGACAACAUAGGCAAAAACAGGCACAGGUUACAAGUGCACAGCUUUUAAGUUCGCACAACACUGAGCACACCCACGCAACCACUACCCACUUCAAGAUACAGGAAAAUACCAGUGUCCAAGAAGCCCUACUGAGCCCCUUCCAAGUCAAAUGUGCGCGGACAAAGUCACCAUUCCGCCGUUCAUCGCUGUGGAUUAGCUGUGUGCUCUCUUGUGCCUGAUUCUUCCACAGGGUCGUGUGUCUGCGACAUUCAUUCAUGUUUCUGCAUGCAGCCUCAGUUGGGUAUUGCUCACUGCACUUAGCAUUUGUGAACCCAAAACACCUGAGACAGACCUCAAUCCAUCUGAACGUUUAUUUUGUCAAGGUUGAAGACAUGCCCAUGCACAGCCUCAGGAGGUCCCGACAACAUGUGCCCAAGGAAUGGCAUUGCUGUGAAUAUUCUUGCACAGAUCUUUUGGUGUGCAUAUUUUGGAAUAGAUACUUAGAAGUGGAGUCACUAGGUCAGGAGGUCUGGAGAAGCCUGGCUGGCACCCCGCCUUGCAUCCCUCGAAUGACCCCAACUUGUGCAUGACGUUGUGCUGCCUUUAUACAUCACUAGAUCCAACAGUCUAGUUUUUGUCCCACAUUUUAAGUGUUCAUGAGAAAGACUGAUCUAUAAUUUGACUUGCUUGUAUGUCAUUAUCAGGUUUGGCAUCAAGGUUAUGCUGGUCUCAUACAAUAAAUUUGGAUGUCCUCCCUCUCUGUUGUAUUCU